rnacentral:piRNA from 1 species
UAGGAUGCAGAGUUGAGCAGCAGGAGUUG